rnacentral:lncRNA from 1 species
CUUCUGGGAGAAUCCAUGCACAAUUCACAAGUGUCACUGGUCCUGCAGGAACAGCAGUUCCUGUAACCUUGAUCACCACUUUUCAUGCCCACCCACCGAAUAUAUUGUAGAGAUUAUAUUAUACUCCUAUGUAGAGGGGGUGUUGUGUUCAUCAUAGCUUUUACUUUAUUCUGGUUGUAUUAUAAAUUCUGUCUUUCACAGAUGCAAGCACAGAUGAAGAAGUGCACAGAAGUGCUGGAGUACAAUCCCUGUCUCAGCAAUUUUACAGACUCACAGUACUCUCAGAUGGGCCCUCAGCUGUACAUCUUCUCUGCUACCAAACCUUUCUCUGCCUUCCAUCUGAAGCCCCUCUGAAAACCCUCCCACAAUUAUUUCCCUCUAUUCUCAUAUUAAACCUCCAUCUCUCUGCAGAGAUGGCUGGAGCAAACUGGUUCUCCUGGACUGCAGCUCAUGAACUCACCUACAAUCUGAGUCAAGUGGAGUCAUUAAAGGGUAGUGAUGCUCCUUUGUCUUGAGUUAUAUCUAUAUUGCACGGUGUAGUGGAGAUUUAUCAAAUUAACCAUAAUUAAUUUAGUCAGCACAAUGAGCAGUUUAGCCAGGCUGCCAUGGGGCUGCUAAAGGGCUCAUUUACCCCUCUAGAAGAUCAGCAGAGACAAAUCUUAAUCCUGUAGGUGCAAUUAAUAUGUUCAUCCAAAACUCAAGCUGAGCUACACUUUCCAGAAGAAACAAAAAAACUGGCAUGAAUAAUUCCAUAAUUCCAUAGAUUUAUUAAUAUUUUACCAAACAACACCCAUAGAUUUAUUCAUAGUUUAUAUCCAUAGAUUUUAUUCACGGAGUAGAAAAAAAAGAAAAAUGUGAAGGUUCUUGUUUCUUAAUUCUGAUUUCACUAAUUCUAGUGCUAAAAGAAUACUUUGCAUCUGUGUUUAAUCUGCAGGGGCUGUUUAUAUAUGAGGUGUAAUAGAGCCAUUGUCAGUGAACAUGUCCAGUCUGAUGCUGGAAACAUGAUUCUCACUUUUAAGUGUGGGGACACCUGAAGUAGCUUUUCCCAAGAAAAGGCACUGUGUGAGAAGCACUGAGCUGGACAGGAGUCAGUGCAUGACAAGUUUGUGGGAGGAACUGUGUGUGCCCAUGACUGCAAAGUAACUCCUGAUCAAACAACCAAGAGGUACCUGGGGUGAAGGAUAACUCAACAGUCAGGUGUUCCCUGCAGUGAAGGCUCUCCUUCCUAUGCCACUUUAUUAGUAUUCUUCAUGCCCAUCUGUCAUUGUCCACAUUAGAUAUGAAGGGAUGAAAUCACCCUUAUCAUUUCCCCUCCCAGCCUAGGUGAGAACUGUUUGUGCUUUGUUGGAUUGAAACCUGCUGUGGUUGUUUUCUGGACUCACUAAUACCAGGAUUAAUCUGAAGCCACUGUACAAAGAGUGCAUUUUGGCACCUCUGACAAUAGAUUUACUGUGACACUGGUCUCAGCUGAUAUGGCAUCCAGGCUUGAGUACUGCGUGGCAAAACUGCACCCCUGUGCAUUAUCCUCUCAUCAGAUAAAACAGUGGCUUUGUCCUUUCUUAAAUUGUCCCUGGAAAAAAGGAAAGCUGGAGCCCUGAGCCUCUUAUGGGUCAGCUUGAAAUGAGCAUUCAUGAAUUUUAGAAGAGUCUUUCAUGAGACCAGAAGGGUUGGGAAGGAGAGAACCAUAAAGCAGAAGACUGACUUGCUGCUGCCUAAAAAGCUGAAAGGAGAAGAGCAGAAAUACCACAAAUACAGCAAGUCUCCUUUGCCAGGGAGCGGGGCAUCAUGAACAGCAGACAACACAACUUUGCUCCAAACACAUAAAAAUGAGCAUGACGAAAGCAGGAGAUAAAGGACCACAGGGUAAUGCUGGUAGAGCCUACUCCACCCUUGGGCAAUGGCAAAGACUAUGUUUGGUCAUGAAAUGUGGAGACAUUACUACAUUCCAAGUGCUGAGUGCAAUUAGGGAUGCAGUAGAUCUCUUGCUAGGAUGUGUGCAUGGGGAAAUGUUUCCCAGAGACGGAGGGAUGUCGACGUAAAAAUUCCUUCUUGUGUCAUGCAUUGCGCCAAGGAAAACAGUGCUGGAACAAGGCAAUCCCACAGCAGGAAGGAGUGAGUCCAUGAAGGAGUCCACUGUAGCACCACAAUGGGCAUGAAUGUAUGCUGGCCCUUUGCACGGCGGAGAACUGGAAAAGGCUUUGGGCAUAGCCCUGCCCUGUGGCUGGUUGGUGUUGAUCCCAUCUCAAAAUAGAAGAGGGAGAAAGCAGUAAUGGCCUGCCAGGCUUGGCAGUACUGGAAGAGAGAAGGGAAAGGAAGACAGGGUGGAGGGACCAAAGAAGACGAGGAAUCAUGUAAGUAAAAUACCUUUUAAAGAAAGCCUUACAUCAAUCCCUGUGUUACUGAACCAAGACAGUCUCAAGUGAGAAAGUCAUUAGAGUUCAUUACCCCUGGCAAUCUGUGGCCAUUAAUUCUCUCUGGCAGCAAUACCUAGGGUUGGAGGAACGUCCAGGCUAUGGCUCUGAGUGCUGGAAUGCAGAGACACGAUAGGGCACAAAUACUUUCCUCACAGACGUCAAGGAAGUUGAAGAAGACAAAACGGUGCCAUGGGGAAAAGAACAUUUAAGUGAGGUGGGGAAACACAAAUCAUUGAGAGAUAUUGCUCGUCCUGGCACCAAAGUUCAGUGAUCCACAGGAGGAAACACCUCUUCUGAGGAUGACAGACACUCUCCGUCUAUUGUUUCAUAUCUCUUAACCUUUCCUAUAUUGUCACAUGAUUCUCAGUCAUAAAGCUCCUUAUUAGCUUGGGCUUUAAAUGGUCCAGUAAGGAAAUCAACAUAACUCAACACUCCUUCCUAUACUGAAAUGGUCUGAGAACUGCUGAGUCUGGUUUAAACCAAAAACUCCCUAAGUUUUUCCUUACUACUGCAAAGCAGGGUGGUGGUUCUUACAUAACAGCCCGGAAAGGGGAUUUCUCACCAGGUUUUCUCUGUCUUUGCUUUCGGGACCAUUCUGGCUGUCUUCCUGGGAAACAUAAAUAUCCUGGCACCCACAGGUACCAACCCCUGCCUUUUAGACCCUUUUACCCCCUAGAAGUACUGCGUGCCUUGUAGUUUAGGGUUUUCAAGCCAAAUCUGAGGUCAUAAUCUGGAUUUCAACAACAAAGGAUCUUCAAAGGGAAUGCCUGAUCUUUCCCUCUGAUACUCACAGAAAUCCACUUAAGGUCCCCUGCUACUCUCGGCUCUGGUUAUGGAGGCUGAGAGAGAGGAAUGCUCUCUCACAGAGUGUACCCAUCAGCCACUCUUGAUCAAAGCCUGGAUCAAAGCCUGGCAGCUGGUAUCCAUCCAGAGCAGAAAAAUAAGUGCACAGGUGGAGAAAUGAGGAUCUGAAAUUUGCC